rnacentral:rRNA from 1 species
AUACGUAGGUGGCAAGCGUUAUCCGGAUUUAUUGGGCGUAAAGGGUCCGCAGGCGGUCUGUUUAGUCUGAGGUGAAAGCGUUGAGCUCAACUCAAUCAAGCCUUAGAUACUGGCAGACUGGAGUACAGAAGAGGGCUAUGGAAUUCCAUGUGUAGUGGUAAAAUGCGUAGAUAUAUGGAGGAACACCAGAGGCGAAGGCGGUAGCCUGGUCUGUAACUGACGCUCAGGGACGAAAGCGUGGGGAGCAAAUAGGAUUAGAUACCCUAGUAGUCCACGCCCUAAACGAUGAUUACUAAAUGUUGGGGUAACUCAGUGUUGUAGCUAACGCAAUAAGUAAUCCGCCUGGGGAGUAUGCACGCAAGUGUGAAACUCAAAGGAAUUGACGGGG